AAAAACCUUACCUACCUUUGACAUGUACGGAAUCCUUUAGAGAUAGAGGAGUGCUCGAAAGAGAACCGUAACACAGGUGCUGCAUGGCUGUCGUCAGCUCGUGUCGUGAGAUGUUGGGUUAAGUCCCGCAACGAGCGCAACCCUUGUCAUUAGUUGCUACAUUUAGUUGGGCACUCUAAUGAGACUGCCGGUGACAAACCGGAGGAAGGUGGGGAUGACGUCAAGUCCUCAUGGCCCUUAUAGGUGGGGCUACACACGUCAUACAAUGGAUGGUACAAAGGGUCGCCAACCCGCGAGGGGGAGCCCAAUCCCAUAAAGCCAUUCNUAGUCCGGAUCGCUGUCUGNAACUCGACUGCGUGAAGUCGGAAUCGCUAUGUAAUCGUGGAUCAGAAUGUCNCGGUGAAUACCUUCCCGGNGUCUUGUACACACCGCCCGUCACACCAUGGGAGCGGGUUCUGCCAGAAGUAGUUAGCCUAACCGCAAGGAGGGCGAUUACCACGGUUGGGUUCGUGACUGGUGUGAAGUAACAAGGUAUCCGUA
rnacentral:rRNA from 1 species